CCUACUUUUUCUUUCUAUCAAGAUUUCUAAUAUUUCUUUUAUUAUUUUCAUCUAUAAUAAUAAUAAAGUUUUGCCCCGUUUUAAAUGUUUUAACUCCCGAUCACCGCUACCCUUUCCGAUUGAUCUGGAGCCCCAUAACGCAUAUCAAGGCUCUGCCCGACUAAGUUUGUUGGGGUUCGGUCUCGUGACAUCGAGAUAAGGUUGAAUUAGGGGUACUAUACUUACCACGAGUGCAUUAUAUAUUUUUAAAAUAGCUCAGAAGUUAUACCCAAGAUUAUACCAGGAGGCUUUCUAGUUGAACCCUAAAGUUACAAAGUGAGUCCAUUCUCUUUUCUCACCAUUUUAUUCCCUUUUUGUGAUAUAAUUAUAUUCAAAAAUGUCCCAAACCGACCCAUAAGUAAAAACCCGGACCCCUGAAACCCCAAUCCAUAUCAAAAAUCAAGAAAUCAAGAUUUGUGGUCUUCAGACGGGCCGCGUAAAGAUUCAGCAUAGUCAUACGCGGGCCGCGUAAAGAUUCAGCAUAGUCUUACGCGGGCCGCGUCAAUGUGGAGUUGACCGGAUAAGCGUCCAGAUCCAUGUGUCACCCACAUGGCACACCUACUCGUGACCCAGCAAACCUAUACGUAGACUAGACCUCCUCGCGGGCCACGUAAGGUUGGUCUUAGGGUUCACGCGGGCCCGACAACCCUAGAAAUCAGCUAUAAAUAGUUUGGUCAUGAGCAGUUCGUCUGUGUUCGACAAAUUCUCUCAAAAUGAAGAUUUACUGCAUAAAAUGUAACAUCCCAAAUUCUUCCUACCCAAUUUUAUUUUGUGAGAAAUUACCGAAUCUAGUUUGCGAGCACGAGACGAAGCAUGGUUUUAAUCACAACAAAUUUAAUUUGGUGAAACUUGAGGGGGCACUAGGUAAUUUAUAAAACUAUAACAUAUUACUUUAUGGACAUGUUGAUUUAUGGAAGAACUAAAGGGACUUUAUUGUAAAUUCUCAAUUUAUAUAACCAUUCUCCUUUCAUCACGUAAAAAAAAAAAUCUAGAGAUCUUCAUCAUCAUCUUUGCGAAACCCUAUUGCGCCGCAACCACCAUCCAAAACAUGUAUCCUUCAUCUCAUUUAACAUGAUCAAGCACGAACCUUGAUUCCUUCGCGACUUCGGAUUCAUCUCAAGAGGCCUGUAUUGUUCCGGUAGCGGUAGCGGAAACAAGAUUGAUCAGGUUAGUUCAUAUGCUUUGAUCUCGUUUCGCUUAAGUCGUUGUAUAAGAGUUCUUGGGGUCGGGUUGUCGGCUGAAAACAAAACCAUGUUGAGACGCGUUAGAUCAGGAUUCCGGGGUUUCGAAGGCUGCCAUCUAAGAGCUCUUGAAGCUUGGUUGGUGUUGAUCUCAAACUACAGUACGGGUACAUAAUCUUUGAAAAACUCACGGUCUUCUCUGAUGGUUGGGUUCGGGAUGAACAAAACGGUUUGUCGGAAUCACGACCCGCACAUGGUAGGGUCACGGCUUGGGUGGUUAAAAGAAACCCGAUUAGAUUUACAUGUUGUUGAUUAUCCUAAAUUAAUCACGACAGGAACUUGAAGCCUUGUUACAUGACAGAACCGAGCCGUGAGUACUGUGUAGUUGGCGAUAUGGCGUGGCUUCUUUGUUAAGGUGCUUGUGGUUAAGGUUUAGGGUGGUAUAGUGGUUGUGAAGUUGUGAUUAUGAAGACAACAUGGAAUUAUAAUUAUAUACCUUGAUACAUGGGGUGUAGGUGUGUGCAUGAUACUUUAUAAAUCAAGUCUAAAGUGGCUCAAGGAUGACAAGACGAUGAUGACUUGAAAAAAACAUAGAAGUUUGUAAUCUCAUGGUGGUUAUAUCGUGCAUGCAUCAGCUAAGUGGAGGUAUGCAGUUUAGGUUUUGAUAUUAUAAUUAACUGUGUUUUUUUAAGCAUGCAUGUAUAUUAGAAAAAAAAAGAAAAAAAAAAGGAAAUGUAUUAGGAAGGUGGGUUACGAAUGGUGGUUUAGGUUAGAGUGUAUAUGAGCAUGAUGCAUGAUGCAUGAUGCUGAUGUUUGGUGAUAACAGCGGUGAUGGUGUUGGUAGAUAGUGAUGAAGUUGAUUGUGUUCGAUGCAUAAAGGAAUAAAUAAUAAAGAAACAAGAACACAACCGAGCACAUAGAUCAAAAGUCUACAGCAACAAAGAAAAGCAAGCAAGCAGGUAACCAGGCAAAUUAAUUAAACAAUCAGACAGACAGACAGGUAGAUGAAGCUAUUCGACGGUUCACAUCCUUGUUUGUUCUAGCUUUUGAUAACUCGAGAAUUACAUUCAGAUUGAUUUCAGGUUAGCUGGAUGCACGAUGACCUCUUGGAUGUUGCAUGAAGCUAUCCAGUAUAUGAAGUUGGCAUUUCUAGUUGAAGACGAUGCUUUAAGAAAUAAAUUUUAAACAUUAAAUUUUGUAUUUUUAGUUUGGAUGUUUCCAUGCUUUGGUAAUUUGACUUAAACGUUUUCCGCUGCG